rnacentral:rRNA from 1 species
UCCUACGGGGGGCAGCAGUGAGGAAUAUUGGUCAAUGGCCGGAAGGCUGAACCAGCCAAGCCGCGUGAAGGACGAAGGUGCCAAGCAUUGUAAACUUCUUUUGUCAAGGGACAAAAUCAGGCUCGAGAGCCUGACCGAGGGUACUUGAAGAAAAAGCAUCGGCUAACUCCGUGCCAGCAGCCGCGGUAAUACGUAGGGGGCAAGCGUUAUCCGGAUUUACUGGGUGUAAAGGGAGCGUAAACGGCUGUGCAAGUCUGAAGUGAAAUGCCGGGGCCCAACCCCGGAACUGCUUUGGAAACUGUACA